UACGAAGGGGGCUAGCGUUGUUCGGAAUUACUGGGCGUAAAGCGCACGUAGGCGGCUUUGUAAGUUAGAGGUGAAAGCCCGGGGCUCAACUCCGGAAUUGCCUUUAAGACUGCAUCGCUUGAAUCAUGGAGAGGUGAGUGGAAUUCCGAGUGUAGAGGUGAAAUUCGUAGAUAUUCGGAAGAACACCAGUGGCGAAGGCGACUCACUGGACAUGUAUUGACGCUGAGGUACGAAAGCGUGGGGAGCAAACAGG
rnacentral:rRNA from 1 species